rnacentral:rRNA from 1 species
AUGCUUUCACAACUUGACUUCAAAAUAUUUGGUUUGGAGACCAUCAAAGAUCAAUAUGUGCAUGAUGCUGAUUUUAAAGAUGUAAUGCAGAAUUGUAAAGAAGGAAGAAUGUGGAACAAGUUUGUCGUUAACGAUGGAUUUGUGUUUCGUGCUAACAAGCUAUGCAUUCCAGCUAGCUCCGUUCGUCUUUUGUUGUUGCAGGAGGCGCAUGGAGGAGGAUUAAUGGGACACUUUGGCGUGAAGAAGACGGAGGACGUACUUGCUACACAUUUCUUUUGGCCGAAGAUGAGACGGGAUGUUGAGCGGGCUGUUUUGAAGAAUAAUAAGAAAAUGUGGGAGGAAUGCUUGCCUCAUAUUGAAUUUGCUUAUAAUCGUUCAUUGCAUUCUACUACUAAGAUGUGCCCUUUUGAAGUUGUGUAUGGUUUCCUACCUCGUGCACCUAUUGAUUUGUUGCCUCUUCCAUCUUCGGAGAAGGUUAAUUUUGAUGCUAAACAACGUGCUGAAUUGAUUUUAAAAAUACAUGAGUUAACUAAGGAAAACAUUGAGCGUAUGAAUGCUAAAUAUAAACUUGCUGGAGAUAAGGGUAGAAAACAUGUUGUGUUUGCACCUGGAGAUCUUGUUUGGUUACAUUUGCGUAAGGAUAGAUUUCCUGAUUUGCGCAAAUCAAAGCUAAUGCCACGUGCUGAUGGUCCCUUUAAGGUGUUAGAGAAAAUAAAUGAUAAUGCAUAUAAACUUGAGCUGCCUGCAGAAUUUGGGGUUAGUCCCACUUUUAACAUUGCAGAUUUGAAGCCUUAUUUGGGUGAGGAAGAUGGACUUCCGUCGAGGACGACUUCAUUUCAAGAAGGGGAGGAUGAUGAGGACAUCAAUACAAUUGUUACACCCACAGCCCCUGCUGCUAUACAUACUGGACCAAUUACUAGAGCUCGUGCACGCCAACUAAAUUACCAGGAAACAGACCCUCGUGGUCAGGUUGAUCGUGCUCCGGCGUGGUCAAUAACCUCUCGGAGUUGGUUUAGCGAUUGCUAA